rnacentral:lncRNA from 1 species
CAUGUAAAAUCACACUCCUCUAUUACCAUGCUUAUCUUCCCACAUACAAUGAAUGCAUGUUGGAUUUUGUUGACUACUUCUGAACACUUGCUCAUCCUUUGCAACCAAAUUUCAUGCAUAAUAUAAUCAACAAAAGACCUAACAGGUCUUAACAAACCCCCACCUUUAAGCCUUAGCAUUCUUAAUGGGAUGAAAUUCCACAACCAUUCAAAUCCAAUCUCAAGUACCAUAUAUGUAGUA